UGAUGAUGGUGAGAUCAAUUUUUGAGCAUAAUCUUAAAUCUCUCCUAAGCUUGGUAGAGAUUCUCUCCUUCCUUCUGUCUGAAACUCAGAAUCUCACUUCUCAAACG
rnacentral:snoRNA from 1 species